AGCUUGUAAGCGAAGGGAAACCGACAUUCUGCAUUUUUGAUUAUUCAAUUUGAGAGAAGGGGUCUGAAAGGGCCUUUAGUCAUAGCAUCAAGACUAGAAACUCCGCGAUCGUGCCUUGGGUAGGAUGAAGCCUGGAGAAAUCUGGGUAGAGGUCCGCAAUGGUCUUGACGUGCAAAUCAGUCACCUGACCUGAGGCAAGGGGCCAAAAGCCAAUCUAGCGGAGUGAUAGCUAGUUCCCACCGAAGUAGAUCUCAGUCUAGCCUAAGUGGACAUUGUUGGCGUUGUAGAGCACUGAUAGAAUUAGUUUGGGGGCUAACGCCCCUACUGUUCCUUCAAACUCCGAAUGUGCCAAUAUGUAAGAAACUUGGAGACGGGUUUAUGUGGGGUAAGCCUCAUAACCGAGAGGGGAGCAACCCAGACUAUAGUUAAGGUCCCAAAAUAUUAGCUAAGUGUCAAACGGAAGAGUGUGUUUGAGCGAAGACAGCAGGAAGGUAGGCUUAGAAGCAGCCACCCUUUAAAGAAUGUGUAACAACUCACCUGUCGAGUUCUUACGCCUCGAAAAUGGACGGGGCUAAAGUUAAUUACCGAUACUAUAGACCACGAAUUAUAUCGUGUGUGGUAGGUGGGCGUAGAGAGUGGAUAGAAGUAGGGUCGUGAGAUCCUAUGGACCGCUUUCUAUUGCAGAUCCUGGUGGUAGUAGCAGCGUAGUGAAGUGAGAAUCUUCAUCACCGUAGAAGCAAGGUUUUCCUGGCAACGCGUCGUCGACCAGGAGUUAGCCGGUCCUAAGUGUAAUCCGAAGGGACUUACACGAAUAGGGAAACAAGUUAAUAUUCUUGUGCCUUGGUGUAUUCGUUAAUUUAUAGUAUACGCUUCGAGAUAUGGUGAGCAGAGCCGUCGCUCUGUCUAAUUAUUCAAGGUUUAGGGAGUGUCGUAAUGACGAGAACUAUUCCGAGUUGAGAAUGGCCAACCAUUGGGUUGGUUCACUAAAUUCUGGGGGACAAUGAAAAUUAUUAUAAAUUGAAUAUACUGAGUCCGUACCAAGAUCCGACACUGGUGUCUUUAGGUUAGUAGCCUAAGGUGUAUGGAGUACAAAGUAGGCGAGGGAAUUCGGCAAAUUAGUCCUGUAACUUCGGAAGAAAGGAUACCUGCUUUUUUUAUGAGGAAUAGGGAUAGCAGGUCGCAGUGACAAGGGGGUCCCGACUGUUUAAUAAAAACACAGGAGACUGCUAGUCCGCAAGGAUGUGUAUAGUCUUUGAAACUUGGUCAGUGGCGGUACCUAAAACUCAAGUUCAAUUGAGCUAAGGGCCGCUUAACACCGGGAGUAACUCUGACUCUCUUAAGGUAGCCAAAUGCCUUGUCGGGUAAGUUCCGACGUGCAUGAAUAGUUCAACGAGGGCCCUACUGUCCCCGUCUGCAACUCCGUGAACCCACAUUAGGUGGACGAACAGUCCAUCGACUUCCAUCGGGAAGAGAAGUCCCUGUGGAGCUUUACUGCAGCUUGUUGUUGUGAUGCGGUUCUAAUUUCAGAGAGUAACCGGGAGCCGUUAUGCACAUACUUUUGGGUAUGUGAUAGGCAAAAGUGUAACACCGGUAUCUUAGAGUUACGUCACUAACCUCAUUUUGAGGGACAUCGGCAGGUGGGCAGUUCGGCUGGGGCGGCACCCCUUUGAAAAGAUAUCGAAGGGGCUCUAAGGUUGGCUCAGGUGGGUCAGAAAUCCACUUUUGAGGGCAAGGCCAAAAGCCAGCCUGACAGGAUUCUGAACAAUAAAGAAUUCUGCUGCGAAAGCAUGACCUAGCGAUCCUUCAAGUCCCCACUGUUGGGGGCUGGAGGUGACAGAAAAGUUACCCCAGGGGUAACAGGCUCGUCGCGGGUGAGAGCUCCAAUCGACCCCGCGGUUUGGUACCUCGAUGUCGGCUCUUCCCAUCCUGGUUCUGCAGCAGGAGCCAAGGGUGGGGCUGCUCGCCCAUUAAAGGGGAACGUGAGCUGGGUUUAGACCGUCGUGAGACAGGUCGGUCUCUAUCUGAUGGAAGCGGUGGUUGUCUGAGGGGAAGUUGAUCUUAGUACGAGAGGAACAGAUCAACGCGGCCUCUGGUCUACCGGUUGUUCGACAGAGCAAUGCCGGGCAGCUAAGCUGUUGUGGAUAAGAGCUGAAUGCAUCUAAGCUCGAAGCCACUCCCGAGAAAAGACAGCCUGUUGUUUAUGAUUUCCUUCGGGAAGUUGU
rnacentral:rRNA from 1 species